rnacentral:lncRNA from 1 species
CUCUAUCCCUCGCCCGGGGCCGCCCUCCCUGCCGCUCCCUUAGGGGCUCUGCGACACCCGCCUCCGGGGGCGCCCCGCCCCCCGCCGCGCGUGCCUGGUUACGACAUGGCGCUAACGGCCCCUCCGGCCCGCCGAGCUCUGUUUUCUGCGGCGGCUUCGCUACUGCUGCUGGGGGCGGCGGAGUCUUCCAACAGGAUCCAUGCUAACAUUCCACUCAUUUUCUUUGCUCUGUGAGGUAAUUUAUAUACCUAUAUGUUCAGUAUACACUUUUUUAAAGACAGUAUUCAUGAUCCUGUAUAGAUAACACAUUUGACUGAAAACAUGACAUUUUGUGACUAUUUAUGUAAUUUUAGUGUCUUUUUUUUAUGAAUUAAACUAAGAAUCUAUCAAAUAAUGUAUGGCUUGUAUUAAAGUCAACAAAAGUUAAAUGAUGUUCUGGGUCUUUAAUGCAGUUUUAGGCAAAAUUCUUUAGUUUUUCGUUUUUAUUCUUUUUUGUCUUUUAUCAUUUCAAAGGCAUUAUUUCAGUUUUUCAGAUCUACAUUCUGCAUUCUGCCUUGUCAGCAUUGUUCAGUACUGCCCAUGAGCAGUACCUUCUAUUCCCAUUUUUUCUUCUGUGCUUGUUACUUAGCAUCUUAAGACAUUGAUCAUAAUGCCUAAUUUGAAUACUGUUUUUAUUGUAAAAUCAUAAAAAUUAUUAGCAUUAAAAGUUUGUUAGUAGGUAUUCUAAAGCAAGAAGAUAAAGAAAAUUCCAUAAAUCUCCAAGAUCAACUGGAGCUAUAGAGAGUAAGAAACUUCUUCAGCUUUAGUCUGUACUACCUCCUAUCUGUUAAAGCUGAAUCCAUAUGACAAAAGCAGCAGAAUGGGCAAUGUCUGUACUCUGCUGUUGCUGCAGUGCCUGCC